CAGCAGGUGAAUGAGAAGAAAGCAGCUGUCAGGUUCGCGAUGACUCUUUUCCAUGUGAGGAAACUGGAGGACAGAAGAAGCUGCUCUGUGUUCCUCUCAGUCCGUCUCUCAGGUCUGAACAAGACGAAGUGUUUUCCUGUCUGACUGAAGCGAAGCUGUUUCCUGGAAUCACUUCUUGUUUGCUCAACAUGAGAAAAGGAGGAGCCAGAAACAUUUCAGUAUGAAAGAAAAAAGUAUUUCAGCAUGAAAACAGAUGCACUUCAGGAUAAAUUUUGUUUUAUUGUGUUAAUAUUGUUUAAAGAAAUAAGCAUUUUAGAAAACGUAAAUAUUCCGUUGGGACAAAUGAGUCGUUCUACAUUUAUAUGAAAAUCCUCUGAACUUCUGGACUCAAAUGAUGCUUUUGAGCUGCAGACUUUUUAAAAAACUAUACGUAUUUGUUUCAAUUCUAUUGUGAAUAAAACCAAUAUUUUUUUUAAGUCCUGUG